UACGUAGGGUGCGAGCGUUUGUCCGGAUUUAUUGGGCGUAAAGAGCUCGUAGGCGGCUUGUCGCGUCGGAUGUGAAAGCCCGGGCUUAACUCCGGGUCUGCAUUCGAUACGGGCAGGCUAGAGUGUGGUAGGGGAGAUCGGAAUUCCUGGUGUAGCGGUGAAAUGCGCAGAUAUCAGGAGGAACACCGGUGGCGAAGGCGGAUCUCUGGGCCAUUACUGACGCUGAGGAGCGAAAGCGUGGGGAGCGAACAGG
rnacentral:rRNA from 1 species